rnacentral:snoRNA from 1 species
ACCUGCAUUCGAAAGUGACCGCGGUCUUGCCUGUGGCCUGGUCAUCGAUAGUGCAGGGAGAGAAACGCUGAAAGCUUUCCCGUGUUUGCGAGAGGUGUGUCCCUUCCCUCCCAAACCCUGUUGCUGUCAGACA